GGAGGUUAGUGCAAUGGCAUAAGCCAGCUUGACUGCGAGCGUGACGGCGCGAGCAGGUGCGAAAGCAGGUCAUAGUGAUCCGGUGGUUCUGAAUGGAAGGGCCAUCGCUCAACGGAUAAAAGGUACUCCGGGGAUAACAGGCUGAUACCGCCCAAGAGUUCAUAUCGACGGCGGUGUUUGGCACCUCGAUGUCGGCUCAUCACAUCCUGGGGCUGAAGUAGGUCCCAAGGGUAUGGCUGUUCGCCAUUUAAAGUGGUACGCGAGCUGGGUUUAGAACGUCGUGAGACAGUUCGGUCCCUAUCUGCCGUGGGCGCUGGAGAACUGAGGGGGGCUGCUCCUAGUACGAGAGGACCGGAGUGGACGCAUCACUGGUGUUCGGGUUGUCAUGCCAAUGGCACUGCCCGGUAGCUAAAUGCGGAAGAGAUAAGUGCUGAAAGCAUCUAAGCACGAAACUUGCCCCGAGAUGAGUUCUCCCUGACCCUUUAAGGGUCCUGAAGGAACGUUGAAGACGACGACGUUGAUAGGCCGGGUGUGUAAGCGCAGCGAUGCGUUGAGCUAACCGGUACUAAUGAACCGUGAGGCUUAACCUUACAACGCCGAAGGUGUUU
rnacentral:rRNA from 1 species